AUGGGUAACCGGCCCCGGCCCCGGUUCUGCCCGCGGGCACCGGCCCCGCGCCGGGAACAAGCGCCGGCUUGUCACAACCCGUGUCCCCCGCACGGGAGCCCUGCCGGGGGGCACGGGGGCACGCGGCACUGGCCGGGGGCUUUAUGGGACGCGGUGACCCCGAAAAUGAAGGGGAUGGGGGGGGGGGCAGAGAUCCCAAAGAAGGGGACCCCAAGGAAAGGGGUUGGGACCCCCAGGAAGGGGCACAGGGGACCCGGGAGUGUGCAGAGACACCCCCCCGAAAGGGCAUGGGGACCCCAAAGGUGGAUGCAGGGACCCGAGGGGGUGGAAAACCCCCCAAAAGGGGAGUCUGAACCCCAAAGAGGGUGUAGGGACCCCAAAGAGGGGUGCGGGGACUGCUGUCCCUCCCCUGGGGACACGGCUGGGGACGUGCUGCCACCCGCUAUGGGCAGAGCUGGGGGGACAGGGUGGCUCUGGGGACCUGGUGGCCCUAGGGACACAUGGGGGACCUUGGGGACACGGGACACGGUGUCUCUGGGGACCCCCAGCAGCUCCAGGACACACGGGGACCCUGGGGACAUGGUGGCUUUGGGGACCCCCAGCAGCUCCAGGACACACAGGGUGACUCUGGGGACCUGGUGGCCCUGGGGACACAUGGGGGACCUUGGGGACACGGGGUGUCUCUGGGGACCCCCAGCAGCUCCAGGACACACGGGGACCCAGGGGACACGGUGGCUUUGGGGACAUGGUGUCUCUGGGGAUCCCCAGCAGCUCCAGGACACACAGGGUGACUCUGGGGAUCUGGUGGCCCUGGGGACACAAGGGGGGACACGAUGGCUUGUGGGGGGGGGACGACACCCCCAUCUGCUCAGCGGGGACGGGGUGGUGCCACUGUCCCCUCCGCCUCUCACCGGGGUCCCCACGUGUGUCCCCCCUCACCAAGCUCCAAGGAGACCCCCCAGGGUGUCCCCUGGUGUCCCCAGGUGUCCCCGGUUGGCAUCCGUGGCGGAAGCCACGUCGUGGCCAAGGGCUGGCGGGGGCUGA
rnacentral:lncRNA from 1 species